GAGUUUGAUCAUGGCUCAGAUUGAACGCUGGCGGCAGGCUUAACACAUGCAAGUCGAACGGUAGCAGGAGAAAGCUUGCUUUCUUGCUGACUAGUGGCGGACGGGUGAGUAAUGCUUGGGAAUCUGGCUUAUGGAGGGGGAUAACUACGGGAAACUGUGGCUAAUACCGCGUAAUAUCGUAAUAUGAAAGUGCGGGACCGUAAGGCCGCAUGCCAUGAUAUGAGCCCAAGUGGGAUUAGGUAGUUGGUGGGGUAAAGGCCUACCGUGCCUGCGAUCUCUAGCUGGGCUGAGAUGAUGGCCUUCCACACUGGAACUGAGACACGGUCCAGACUCCUACUGGAGGCAGCAGUGGGGAAUAUUGCGCAAUGGGGGGAACCCUGACGCAUCCAUGCCGCGUGAAUGAAGAAGGCCUUCUGGUUGUAAAGUUCUUUCAGUAUUGAGGAAGGAGUGUAUGUUAAUACCAUACAUUAUUGACGUUAUAUACACAAUAAGCACCGGCUACUCCGUGCCACCAUCCGCGGUAAUACGGAGGGUGCGAGCGUUAAUCGGAUUAACUGGGCGUAAGGGGCACGCAUGCGGUUAUUUAUCUGAGGUGUGAAAGCCCCGGGCUUAACCUGUGAAUUGCAUUUCAGACUGGGUAACUCGAGUACUUUAUGGAGGGGUAGAAUUCCACGUGUAGCGGUGAAAUGCGUAGAGAUGUGGAGGAAUACCGAAGGCGAAGGCAGCCCCUUGGGAAUGUACUGACGCUCAUGUGCGAAAGCGUGGGGAGCAAACACGAUUAGAUACCCUGGUAGUCCACGCUGUAAACGCUGUCGAUUUUGGGGAUUGAGCCUUUAAGCUUGGUGCCCGUAGCUAACUUGACACAUCGCCCGCGUGGGGAGUACCGCCGCAAGGUUAAAACUCAAAUGCAUUGACGGGGGCCCGCACAAGCGGCCGCGCAUGCGGUGUACUUCGAUGCCACGCGAAGAACCUUACUUACUCUUGACAUCCAUGGAAUCCUGUAGAGAUACGGGAGUGCCUUCCGGAACCAUCAGACAGGUGCUGCAUGGCUGUCGUCAGCUCGUGUUGUGAAAUGUUGGGUUAAGUCCCGCAACGAGCGCAACCUUUAUCCUUUGUUGCCCGCGAUUUGCUCGGGAACUCAAACGAGACUGCCAGUGAUAAACUGGAGGAAGGUGGGGAUGACGUCAAGUCAUCACGGCCCUUACGAGUCGGGCUACACACGUGCUACAAUGGCGUAUACAGAGGGUCGCGAAGCUGCGAGGUGGAGCGAAUCUCAGAGAGUACGUCUAAGUCCGGAUAGGAGUCUGCUAACUCGACUCCAUGAAGUCGGACUCGCUCGUAAUCGCGGAAUCAGAAUGUCGCGGUGACAUACGUUCCACUGGGCCGUGUACACACCGCCCGUCA
rnacentral:rRNA from 1 species